CACGCAGGCGGUUAGAUAAGUCAGAUGUGAAAGCCCCGGGCUCAACCUGGGAACUGCAUUUGAAACUGUCUGACUAGAGUCUUGUAGAGGGGGGUAGAAUUCCAGGUGUAGCGGUGAAAUGCGUAGAGAUCUGGAGGAAUACCGGUGGCGAAGGCGGCCCCCUGGACAAAGACUGACGCUCAGGUGCGAAAGCGUGGGGAGCAAACA
rnacentral:rRNA from 1 species